AGGAAGAAGUAUUAUAAAAAGAGCUUCUAACUCUAAUUAAAAAGGUGAGACUCCUUUUUCUUCUUA
rnacentral:tRNA from 1 species